rnacentral:misc_RNA from 1 species
UUGAAAUAAACCUGAUGGGUCGUUGCUGGUUCUCUAGGGAGCAUGUGCACACCUUGUCAUCUUUAUAUCUCCACCUGUGCACUUUUUGUAGACCCGAAAGGGUCUAUGUUGCUUCAUUUUUACACCCCAAUGUAUGUCAAUAGAAUGUUGUCCUUAUAUAAUAUAUA